rnacentral:rRNA from 1 species
UUGCACGCUGGCGGCAGGCCUAACACAUGCCAGUCGAACGGUAACAGGAAGAAGCUUGCUUCUUUGCUGACGAGUGGCGGACGGGUGAGUAAUGUCUGGGAAACUGCCUGAUGGAGGGGGAUAACUACUGGAAACGGUAGCUAAUACCGCAUAACGUCGCAAAACCAAAGAGGGGGACCUUCGGGCCUCUUGCCAUCGGAUGUGCCCAGAUGGGAUUAGCUAGUAGGUGGGGUAACGGCUCACCUAGGCGACGAUCCCUAGCUGGUCUGAGAGGAUGACCAGCCACACUGGAACUGAGACACGGUCCAGACUCCUACGGGAGGCAGCAGUGGGGAAUAUUGCACAAUGGGCGCAAGCCUGAUGCAGCCAUGCCGCGUGUAUGAAGAAGGCCUUCGGGUUGUAAAGUACUUUCAGCGGGGAGGAAGGGAGUAAAGUUAAUACCUUUGCUCAUUGACGUUACCCGCAGAAGAAGCACCGGCUAACUCCGUG